AAACUGCGGCAGGGCUCUCCUUGACAGGAGCAGCACCGGGAAAGGUCACCCCGGAGCGCGGCGCCAGGGUGAAGGCCCGCGGUUAGCACGGCCCCUUUAGCUACAGAAGCAGAUCACACUUCUGCUUGUGCGACAAAGAGUGGUAAAAGUGAGUGACGGUGCCUUCUUUUAGCCGAAUGCUCCAGGAGGUGACGUGCAGUGCAGUGGAAGUACCUGAGAGCCAAAGCAAACGGGCAGUGGCACAGAUUCUCCUCAUCAGUGCAGCUGAUCUCCUCCAUCCCCCUCAGCGCUGAAGGACUUCCACUCCAUCCGUCAGGCCGUGACACGGAGCAGGGCUGGGCCCUUCCCCAGGCCUACAGCGGGAGGGCUGUGCUGCUGGAGCACCGAAUGCAGCAGCAAAUCAAUAGAGAGAGAAAACAGUGCUGCUAUUGCUGAUAGGUCCAGUCAGUAAUUUCUAAGGGGAAGGUAACAGUCACAGAACUAGAGGUCCCUUCCAGCCCCUACAGAGAUGGAGUCCAGCCCCCCUACAGCAGGUUACACAGGUAGGCAUCCAGGUGGGUCUUGAAUACCUCCACAGUAGAUUUUCCUUCUAAAUCUAGGUAACAGUUUUUGUCUGGAGAAACUCCAAGAGUACCAAAUUAUUUUUUUUCCUAGAUCCAGAUUUAUGGUGACUAACUAGAGGGCUAAUAUUUGAACAUGCAUUCUAAUGCCCAUGCAGAUAGUAUUCUGGCUGCACCGCGCAACUAGCAUACAACAAAGCUAGCACCUACCAUAUUCUGUGGUAUUGAGCCAUAAUUCGGAACUCCAAGGACCUGGCUGAUAAAGCUCUGCCCACAGCUCUUCCCAAUCCACAGAAACAUCACCUGAAAGGUAAACAGCAAUAUCAUCUAAUGUGAAACAACACCUCAGCAGCCUCCUAUACAUUUUGAGUUCUCAGCAAGAACAUCAAGUCAAUAUAAAUUGGAAUACUUCUUAAAAUCACCACCACCACGCAACUUACAGAGCCAGCAUCCAUAAGGUAGGCACCUUCCCUACUCAAUUUCUCCACUGAUAGCUGGAGAAUGGGUGGCUGAGGUAUAGUUCUGUCAUUGAUGUUGAGAGCUCCCUGAAGAAAAAGAAAGAAAACACAGUUCACAUCUUGAUGCAUUGAAACAGUCACAAGAACAAAAGGUUAAAUAAGAAAAGGGUAUUGAAGUUAGACUGUAUAGUUCCAAUUACACUAUAAGUACAUAAUUUACUACUAAACUUCUUAGUAUUUUGAGAGGUGCACUUCAUGUUUAUCUUCAUCAGUUCUACGAGCAACAACUGGGAAAAUGUGAACCAUCACAUUUGAGAUAUGUAGCUUAAAUACGGACAAUUUGAGUGGAAUUUCUUUCAACUUCACAUAAUUCAAACCCAUGGGACCAGACACAAACAGGCCACGUAGCAAUGCAAGUGCUCACCUCAUCUGUGAGAUUAUCCACUCUGUACAAACUGGGGUGUGUCAUAAGCAUGAGGUAAACAAGAGGCUGGUUUUUCACUUGACACAUGCUAAAGAUGCGUUCAUCUAGACGUGCAUUCGUCCCAGUUUGAAAUGCUUUCUGCAAACAAUCAGACAUUUAAUUUGACCAUUAAGGACUACAACAGACUCCCAGGCAAAGAUGAACAUUCACCACCUGUCAGAGUAUGUGUUAUCUACUCAGGCCUACGAGACAAACAGGUUUCGUUCUACAUUUGUCUUUCUAGUCACCAAGUUCUGGGGGAGCAGAGAAAUCAAACUCUUAUCUUGAGAGAAUUUUAUCUGUACAAGAAUAUUCACAAAUCCGUAAGAUCUCAAUAUUCUAACAGAAAUAUCAGAAAGACUGGUUUUAUCAAGCAACCUAAAACAAACAACUUCUCAAUUUUGAGUCCUAUGAAAAUGUUGGAAGAAGAUAGAUGCUAUUUUGUACAGCAACGACAUGCUCUUUUACUUCAGGGUUGACAUGCCAAGCACAGACAAUUAUCCUCCUCUGGCAUAGCUUCCUUUUAACUCUUACCUGUUUUAAGAGUGCCAGUACAUAAAGUGGGAAGAGCCGUAGUGAACUGGGGGCCAUGAGACCAGGCUGCUGAAUGCUCAGGACUGAUGAACGGUAAGCAGACAAAGAAUCUAUCACCGCGUUGACCAAAGCAUCU